rnacentral:rRNA from 1 species
CUGCUUACCAUGCAGUCGAGCGAUGAAGUCCCUUCGGGGACGGAUUAGCGGCGGACGGGUGAGUAACACGUGGGCAACCUGCCUCAAAGAGGGGGAUAGCCUCCCGAAAGGGAGAUUAAUACCGCAUAACAUUAGAGCAUCACAUGAUGCUUUAAUCAAAGGAGUAAUCCGCUUUGAGAUGGGCCCGCGGCGCAUUAGCUAGUUGGUGAGGUAACGGCUCACCAAGGCGACGAUGCGUAGCCGACCUGAGAGGGUGAUCGGCCACAUUGGAACUGAGACACGGUCCAGACUCCUACGGGAGGCAGCAGUGGGGAAUAUUGCACAAUGGGCGAAAGCCUGAUGCAGCAACGCCGCGUGAGUGAUGAAGGCCUUCGGGUUGUAAAGCUCUGUCUUUGGGGACGAUAAUGACGGUACCCAAGGAGGAAGCCACGGCUAACUACGUGCCAGCAGCCGCGGUAAUACGUAGGUGGCGAGCGUUGUCCGGAUUUACUGGGCGUAAAGAGCUCGUAGGCGGUUUGUUGCGUCUGCUGUGAAAACGCGGGGCUUAACUUCGCGCGUGCAGUGGGUACGGGCAGGCUAGAGUGCGGUAGGGGAGAUUGGAAUUCCUGGUGUAGCGGUGGAAUGCGCAGAUAUCAGGAGGAACACCGAUGGCGAAGGCAGGUCUCUGGGCCGUUACUGACGCUGAGGAGCGGAAGCGUGGGGAGCGAACAGGAUUAGAUACCCUGGUAGUCCAUGCUGUAAACGUUGGGCACUAGGUGUGGGGGCCUUUCCGGGUU